GUAGCAGAGGAUUUGGUCUCUAGCGCUCCUAAAUACAGAAGACAGAGCAAAUCAUACUACAAAAGUCUUAUUUAAAUGCUCUAAACCUCACAAAUGACACUGCAGGUUUGCUGUCCGGUCCUCACAAUGUUAUGAUUUACUGAACAGUUUACAUCAUUACUUAAUUGUCAAGGAAUGAAGAAGGAUAUAUAAACUGCUCUCCUGUACAAGAAAGACAAACUGGAAUGAGCGAGUUCAGUAAAGGUUCACAAACAUGAUCUUUGAAGAGGCCAAAGUCUGCUCUCCUGAAGUCCAGGGUUUGCUCACACCCUCCUCCCUUGCCCUCAGGAUCCUGAACCACCAUCUUAGAGUCACUGCAGCCAAGGCUGCUUGCGACCUUCACAUUCCCAACAAAGCCCUCAUUUUUGGAACUCUUUCCGCUUGAUGGCACAGCUCCUCCAAUACAGCACAUUUGCAGGACAGAGGAGCAUCUCUCAUGGCAUCGGAAUGAAGCCUUAGGCACUUUCU